CCAUUCGUUGGCCCCAUGGGAGGGCAAUUCCGGCACACUCCCUGAUUGCGCAUGCGUAGGUGCACGUGCGCAUGCGUGGGUCCACAUGCGCAUGCGUGGGCGCACGUGCGCAUGCGCACGCAUGCCUAGCAGGCUUGUGCCGUCUUCAUGCCUCAGCACCAACAGGGCGGCCUGCAGGCUGGCGGUGAGGACUCUGGACAGGUAUACGCAGCCAGGUGCUUUGGGUACGUGCCCACACGGUAUUGUUUAGAGUCCACGUAAAGUUGUUCAUCGCGAUGGGUGUCCGGUUCCGGGAAACAUGGCCGAAAGGCCCAGAGGAGGAAUUGUUCAACUGCCAGAUGUUGCUGAAAAGUCUAAGAAGAUGAGGGCUGAGGAGAGAAUAUUGGGUUCCACAAUAUGGGGUCAUCGAUAAUCUUGAUGAUAUGUCUUAUAAAAGGGGUGAACAGUAAGUCCUGAUUAAAGCAAUUUCCAGGAAAAAUUGGAGGUAAAGUGAAAGCAACGAGUAAAGACAACUCUAUAAAUGGUUUUUCUGUACAAACAAGUGGAAGAAUCUGGUGGUAGUUAGAGGGGGUGUGGUUUUGUUUGUUUUUAGGGCUGGGAGUAAAAUAGCACAUUUAUAUAUUGAUGAGAAUGAUGAGGUAUAAAUGGAUUACAUCAGGAAAAUGAAUAGUUUGUUUAAAGAUUCUGAACAGAAAAGCCAGAAAAUAUGGACUCAAAACAGGGUCAUUGUAAGCAAGGAAAAGUCAGGUUUAAAAGAAACAAACAAGAGGCAAGUAGACUUGUUGAGAGAGUAGAAGGAAUGUAAGGACCUGUGAGUAGGAAAUACUGAUGGAGAACAUGAAGAAAUCACUGACAUUUAUAGGUCAAAAAUUCAUUCUGAAUUUAUUUCUUGAGUGUAGAAUAGAUUCUAGGUACUGCACUAAUGAUUGGGGACACAGUAAUGUACAAAAUAGAGAUACAUGUCUUCUAUUCUCAUGGAGGUAGUAACCUAGUGAGCAGGAAAAAUAAUAUAUCAGUAAAUAAUCAACAAACAAAUAAUAUUUUAUAAACUUAAAAAUGCUAUGAAAAAAAUGAAGCAGGGUAUUGGGCUAGGGAGUCCCUGGGGGGUUGAGUGAGGACAAUUUUGGACAAAGCAUUCAAAGAAGACCUCUCUGACCUGUUUCAUUUGAGAUGAGACCUAAAAGAGCCAGAAGCCCAAAGUAAGUUAACUGGCCCCCGAGGACUAUAAAUUGUGAGUUCAAGACAAAUAGCAACACAAAUAAUGAUAGUUAUUACAAAGGCUUGCAAGCUGCACCUCAUCCCUGACUCUUAUUCCUAACCUGAUCUCCACAUUUGCAAUAUUCGGAUACUGGGUCCAAUACUACUUUUCUGAAAGACACUCCCUUCCCCCAUCCAGUGGGAAAUGUUCAAUUUUAAAUCCAGGAGAGAAAAGCACAGGGGUAAGGAAAACAUAACAAGACACAGAGGCUGCGUUAAUUUUCCACCUUCCCCUAGAGCCCUGGGCUCAUUCUGUUCUAUUUCCUAACAGCUGGCAAGCUUGUGUUCUUUUCCUCUGUAACUGUUUCUCCAGCAGGUAAAGCUCCAUUUGGCAUCCAGGGCAUAUGAUUGUUAUAAGCAGUGUCCCCAUGACAUUUCAUUAAGCUGGUCUUUCUACACUUACCGUCUGACUACUGGAGCCUUGUUAGAAGCACUUAAUUGCAUCCUAUUUUUUGAGGCGGUAGCUAUACAGCAAGAUUGUGCUCUCCUGUUAAUUUCUUUUUAGUUUUUCCCAAGGUCUUCCUGCUGAUUAGCGUUUUAACAAAGACUUUCUCCUGCUACCUUUAACACCCUCCCUGCUUCCUUACAAUUUGGGACAAUGCUGUCAGCUGUAACAGGCAUUGCUUUUAUGCAUAUGUGAUUUGCGUUGGCCUGGGUGUCAAGAAUCUCUAUUCCUCAUGGCGGAGUUGAGGUUGGGCGUUUGAGUGGAUGCCCAACUGCACAACUUUCUGUGGGCAUUGAUCUCUCCCAUUUUCACUGGUGAAAUAAACUUUUUGAAUAUAAAAUUUCUGUGUCAAAAAAAAGUGACACUUUUUUAAAAAAAGCAUGCUGCUUCUAUCUUUAAUUGAUCCUCUUGGGAUACUAUGUCCAUUAAAAAAAAAAACAUAAUCUGAAUUCUUUAGGAUAAAGAGAAUGAGCUAUCGAUGUGUCUUUGUGAUUGGAACGUCUACUUCUGCUUUUAACAACUGAUUUUUAUUGAGCCUUUGUCUUUAAAGUGGCAAACACUCUCCUCCAGUAUUUGAUAUGUAUCAUUUUAUUUAAUCCUCUUCACGGUCCCAGUGUUGAUGAAAGGUAUUAGGGUUAUUCUCACCUCACAAAUGAGCAAGGUAAAGCACUGAAAUAUUAGGUAACUUGACCAAGUUGCCCAGUUACUACGUGGUAGAAAUGAAUUCAAACCUAUGUCUUCUGGUUCAAGAGCCCAGGUUCUUAAAACCACAUAUUCCCAAGUAGAGUGGACCAUCUUUUUCACAUAAUAAAAUGCUCUUUCACCUGAAGCCCAUAUGUGUGACUCCUCUCUUUUGUAAGACACUUACUUCCCUGUGUUCUCCCAAUUAGGUUAUAUAUUGCUUUAUAGUGACUCAGACUAUUCCAACAGGACUCCAAAGCCAAACUUACAAGUUGAAUUAGAUGCAUCUUCCUGUGUCAACCUGCCUCUCUGCCAUCUUUCCCAGUUUCAGUGUCCAGCCUCUUUCCUGGGAUAUGCCACAACUGGCUCAAUUGUUCUGUUUCCAGCGAUACCCACUCUCCUCUACCAGCUGCCAGCGCACUUUCUAACAGAGUUUGGUUGAUGCUACUCCUGUUCCUACCCUUUCAUUGACUGCCUGGUGCUAAUGGACAUAUUUGACAUUGCUUAGCCAUUGGUUUAUUUGCAACCUGGGUUUAAUCUACCAUGCAAGUCACAUCUGCGAACAGUUCCAUCCCUCUUCAUAUCACAUCCUAUGUUCAGUUACACAAUUCCCUCAUGUGUGUCCAACAUACCCAUGCCAAUGUUUAUACUAUUUCUGUCUCCAGAAAUAUAUAUUUUUCUCCUACCCUAACAAAAUCAUUUGUGUCCUUUGAAACCAGCUCAUGAUUCACCUCCUCUGAAAUAUAUUUGGUGACUUUUUCCCUGCUUUCAGGAAGAACAAAUGAAUAUGAUCCCUCCUGCCUGCCCACAACCCUUUGUUCAUAUAGCCAGUACUGCAAUUAUAAUCUUUUUAUUAUAGUUAUUCACAUUCCUACUUCUCACAACAGAUUGUGACUUCCUCCAGGGCAGCAAUCAUUAUCUUCUACACACAGUAGGUGCUCAUAAAUUUAUGUUACAUGAAAGAAUGCUUGAAUAAACAUUAUAUAUUGCUGUACCAUAAACCAGAUAGAUGAAUCCAGCAGGCAGCAUUUGCAUGGAACACAAUGGUAGCAAUCACUGAGAUUCUGCUCUCAUUAGACUGGGUUUAUAUAUUUCUUUUGAAAAAAUACUCUCUAGCGUAGAUCUGAGAGUAAUUACCAAUGCCUCUUGGAAUACAGAAAAUAAUGUGUCAUAAAUUAUGGUGGAGUUCUUUGGGAAGGAGAGAAGAACAGAUGUCUUGAGUCAGAGGUACAAUGCCUGUUAGGGAAUCUUUUAUACCAAGUAUUGAUAAUGCCUCUUCCUCACUUGCUUGCAUUGUCCUUGCUCUCCUUGCAGCUUAGAGAUCCCCCAUCUACUAAAUGAGUCAGUGUAUCUGUCUUUUGCUGCCUUUGUGAGUGUCCACUUCCCUCCCCUCCCUGCUCCACUCCUAUUUGAGUCUUGGCCUCAUCUCACUCUUUACUCUUUUUUUUUUUUUCCCUGUUGCCAUUAAAUCCCUUCCUGAGGUUUUAUUAGGUUAUUUUUCUAGAAGACAGACUAGUGCCUAGAGGUAUUGUGGAAUAACAACACUGAAAAGGUCAGUCUAGCUGUUUUCCAUGGAAAAGAGUCACUGUGCAGCACCAAGAACACCGGGAGAGGGGAGGAGGGAAGAAAUGCAAGGAUGACGAAGCUCAUAUGUUUUAUUUAACUGCUCUUUCCACCUGUAUGCAUACAACAUGCCAAGCAGUUUUAAAGGGACUUGCUGUCCACCUGCACAUACUAAGGACUGCUGUGUGUGCCCCAGAGCCUCAGGCGGAGAGGUAGGAGUGCACACUAGGAGCUGGGCAGUGGGCCAUGUGUGACUUUGAAGACUCAGAAUCUUGAGGUCCCUGUGUGCAGCAGACACAAUCGCAGCAUGUCAUCAAAAUUGCCACUGUCUGGAAACCCAGAAAGAGCAGAGUGGAGAAUGAUGUUCAUUGCACAGUCCACAGUCAAGAUGCGUGCAUGCGUGUGUGUGCAUACUGUCAUUUUAACCUGCCAAUCAGCGAGGGAAAAAAUGGUUCUGUAUGUAAGCGGAUCCUUCUCAAAUGCAUGGUGCUGAGAGUCACAUGGAGGCACUUCCCGCCCUCGCUCCUCCGAACCAGCCUGUCCCACCGAGUAUCAAGCAAAGCAACACAGAAAAUUGUGAAGAUUCUUGGAGUGUGUGAGCUGGACACCAUGUCAGUGGUCACCUGGCCCAAGUCCCUUGCCUUACGAAUAAUGACAGAAGACCAAAGAAUUGAACUGCUGAGUUUGUGUGAGGGUUCGUAUGAGCAAACCAUCGAGCACAGACCUCGGUCAAUGAUGUGAUGCAGGAGGAGAUCAUGAGCCAGACUGUUUCAGCAUAGCUGACAAUGUUAGGCAGAGAGCACUGCUACACUGGGGAUGGGCCAAGGCUGCUGAAGGAGAGACACUCUUUUCACUCCAUGUCAGGAAGUGACAGAAAGGAAGUUAUGCAACAUCUGCCUGGGGUUCCCUGCUGAACAUCACAAGCAGCUGUUGUAGCAGAUCUGGAAGAACUGCUUCUGGAAAAAAAAAAAAGUGCUGCGAAUAGUAUUUCUACAGCUCCUUCGAGAUUGUGGAGAGUGACACAUUUGAACAGACUGAAGCACAAUUCAAUAUUCUGCUGCUAAUUCACACCCAGACUCUGAGUUAAGAUGUAGGUGCCGGGAGGUAGAGUCCAGGGAGAUUCCAGGCAGUGGAACAGGAGGUCAGCAGUUCCUCCUUCCUUCCAAGAAUCUGCAUAUAAAUCACAUUCAUCUCACCGAGGCAUUUGAUUUUGGCUCAGGAGAAGAGAUGGCAUAGGUAGAUUUGUCUGUCUUGUUCCUUCUGCUCAAACUAACUGAAUAAAAUAAAACAUAGUCACACCGCAUCAGAAGAUCUGUACAAGGUUGCAAGCAAAGAGUAUUAUAAGAUAGAUACCACAUUUGUAUCAAUUCAAAGAUAGAGAAACAAAAAUUUGGUCUAGGCUGUGUGCUAAACACCUUCUCAUUAAGGCUAAUGGAGGCAGACUUGCGGGUGUGGCAUGAGGGGCUGUUACAGCUUCAUCGUAAAUAUGCAAUCGAUGUGACCAUUUAUAACAGAGCCAGGUAAGAUUACCCAGUCUGUGUGUCCGGCAUUAUAAGGCAUAUUAGCAAUGUAAUAUGUUCUCUGCUCAUUUUACAUUAUUAGGCUAGUUAUGUUACUCAAUUACCAAUACUUACCAUUUAUUAAGAGACUACUCUGAGGCAGUGUCUCUUACAUAAUUUAUCUAGU